UUUAACAAAAAAGAAAAGGUAUUACUUUUGAAUAUUAUUAAUAGAUACAUUGUUACAUCAGAAGACACAGAGACAACUCCAGAGUUGGAUACAGGUAUGGGAGGGGCUGAAGCUUUCCUAAUUUUGGAGACAUUCUUUUUUUUUUUUUUAAGGAUUUAUUUGAGAGAGAGCAAGCGAGCAAGCAGGGGGAAGGGACAGAGGAAGAGAGUCUCAAGAAGACUCCGUAAUAAGACGCCAUAAUAAGCCCAACACGGGACUCGAUCUCAUGACUGAGACCAUGACCUGAGCUGAAACCAAGAGUCAGCCGCUUAACUGACUGAGCUGCCCAGGCACCCCGGAGACAUUCUUCAAGGAUUUUAAGUAAUCUCCACACCCAACAGAGGGCUCGAACUCACAACCCCGAGGACAAGACCUGCACAUUCCGCCGAAUGAGCCAGCCAGGCACCUUGCAGAUCGGCUUCUUGAAGGAGUUUUGAGUGCAAGUGCUUUGGCACAGAGCAGGGGAACACACCUUAAGAUAGUCCUGAAGAACUCUGCAUCCAGCCUGCUCCUCUCCAUAUCAGGUCCUCAGCAAAUCUGUUAGAGACUGCUGCCUGACCUGUGACUUAUCCUGCCCUAGAAAACAAGUUCUAAUGACGUUCUGCUGUUCAGGCAAGAAUGACACAGAAUCCCAAUAAGGUCUUAUCGUUUUAAUUGACUUUAAUGAUUAUUGCUCAUCUGCAAGGAUUAAUAUUGCAUUCAUUAAAAAUCAUUCAAUACAAAAUAAACUUGUUCUUCCCGAGUUGCUCUCCACACGCUCCCUCUGAUGCCAGACAUUUUCCCACAGUGUCCUUUGUUACAUGGCUUGACAGAGAUGGAGCCCUUACCUAUUAUUCCUAUGGACACAGUAAUAGAUUGGGAGCAAGGGGCAGGCCAGAGGGCAGCGGGACCUGGGCCCCUCGCCUCCAGCAGAGCUGACACGAUGGAUACCACUGUUGGCCAGGUUACCGCCCCUCAAGGAUGGGGUGUUCUGAUUGGCUGGUUCAGUGCCCUGGGAAAAAGGGCCUGAACUGUUAGCAUCUACAGAGAAGAAAGCAUGGUCACACUGAAAAGGAGCGGGAAGGGGCUGGGUGGGGGAGAACCAGGAGAGGAAAAGGAAAAAUGUUUUGGCAAGACUCUGCUAGAAGGCUGCAGAGUGAAAGCUUUCCUUUCUUAUAUUACUGUUUUUAACGUCUGUCUCUCUGAUCAAUGGCAACAGAGAAUUGAACAUUGCUAGUACCUAGCACUAAUGCCUGACCCAA